rnacentral:rRNA from 1 species
ACGAGUGGCGGACGGGUGAGUAAUGCUUGGGAACUUGCCUUUGCGAGGGGGAUAACAGUUGGAAACGACUGCUAAUACCGCAUAAUGUCUACGGACCAAACGGGGCUUAGGCUCCGGCGCAAAGAGAGGCCCAAGUGAGAUUAGCUAGAUGGUGAGGUAAAGGCUCACCAUGGCAACGAUCUCUAGCUGUUCUGAGAGGAAGAUCAGCCACACUGGGACUGAGACACGGCCCAGACUCCUACGGGAGGCAGCAGUGGGGAAUAUUGCACAAUGGGGGAAACCCUGAUGCAGCCAUGCCGCGUGUGUGAAGAAGGCCUUCGGGUUGUAAAGCACUUUCAGUUGUGAGGAAAGGGUGUUGGUUAAUACCCAAUAUCUGUGACGUUAACAACAGAAGAAGCACCGGCUAACUCCGUGCCAGCAGCCGCGGUAAUACGGAGGGUGCGAGCGUUAAUCGGAAUUACUGGGCGUAAAGCGCACGCAGGCGGUUUGUUAAGCUAGAUGUGAAAGCCCCGGGCUCAACCUGGGACGGUCAUUUAGAACUGGCAGACUAGAGUCUUGGAGAGGGGAGUGGAAUUCCAGGUGUAGCGGUGAAAUGCGUAGAUAUCUGGAGGAACAUCAGUGGCGAAGGCGACUCCCUGGCCGAAGACUGACGCUCAUGUGCGAAAGUGUGGGUAGCGAACAGGAUUAGAUACCCUGGUAGUCCACACCGUACACGCUGUCUACUAGCUGUGUGUGAAUUUAAUUCGUGCGUAGCGAAGCUAACGCGCUAAGUAGACCGCCUGGGGAGUACGGCCGCAAGGUUAAAACUCAAAUGAAUUGACGGGGGCCCGCACAAGC